AUGUCAGGAGGGUUUUUGUAUGGGACUGAAUCAUGGUGUGCUAUCUUCGGCGGUGGCACCCAAGUGACCGUUCUUGGUCAACCCAAGUCUUCGCCCUCAGUCACUCUGUUCCCACCAUCCCCUGAGGAGCUCCAAACCAACAAAGCCACAGUAGCGUGUCUCAUGAGUGACUUCUACCCAGGAACAGCGACCGUGAAGUGGAAGGUAGACGGCUCCCCUGUCACUCAGGGCGUGGAGACCACCAAGCCCUCCAAACAGAGCAACAACAAGUACAUGGCCAGCAGCUACCUGACCUUGUCACCUGAACAGUGGAGAUCUCACAGAACAUGCAGCUGCGAAGUCAUGCAUGAAGGAAGCACCGUGGAGAAGACAGUGGUCCCUGCACAGUGUUCUUAGGCCCUGGCCCUACCCUGACCAAGGGAGCCUAGAGCUUGGGAACCCAGGGAAAGGGUUUUCACCCAUGCCAGUUUGUCAACCUUUCUCCCUGCACUCGACAACCCUCAAUAAAUAUCCUCAUGUCAAUCAGAAA